rnacentral:rRNA from 1 species
ACGAGGAUCCUACUGUCUCCCCCCUCUAAUCAGUGAAAUUAAUCUCCCCGUGAAGAAGCGGGGAUAAAAAUAUAAGACGAGAAGACCCCAUGGAGCUUUAAACCCAACAACACCCAUUUAUUCUAUAUCCCUAUAUGUAUAUGGCUAUGUUUGUUUAGUUUUAGGUUGGGGUGACCACGGAGUAUAAAAUAACCUCCAUGAAGAAAGGACUAAUAAUCUUUAUUAGAGAAAUACAUUUCUAAAAAUUAAUAAAUUAACUUUUAAUGAUCCAAUAUUUGAUCAACGAACCAAGUUACCCUGGGGAUAACAGCGCAAUCCACUUUAAGAGCCCCUAUCGACAAGUGGGUUUACGACCUCGAUGUUGGAUCAGGGUGUCACAGUGGUGCAGCAGCUACUAAUGGUUCGUUUGUUCAACGAUUAAAACCCU